CUGACGGGGGCGAGCACGUGCCUGAUGCAAUUCGGGAGCGGGCGGGGGCAGCGAGCCCGGCAGGAGAGAAGGGAUGGUAAAGAGGGGGAAGUGUCUUAAAGAGCCAGCGCGUGAGAGCGGCCGCAGGUGGAGCACAUGGGAGUGGGCCACGCGGCCGGCCGGGCCUGCUCGCGCUCUUUAGGUUGGCUGCUCCAGAUUCCGAGAAAGGAGCCAUUAAUGUCACCCUCCACUUACAGGAUGAUGGAGCCACGCCGCACAGCUUACAGGAUCUUGGUUCCCCGACCAGGGAUUGAACCCAGGCCCAUGGCACUGAAAGCACCAAGCCCUAACCACUGGACCACCAGGGAAUUCCCAGGAUCAGACCAGCUUGUGCUGUGCCCAUGGCUUCAACACAUCCUAGGCUUAAAACUCACAGACACACAGAGAGAGAAAAUCAAACUUAAAAAAUAAAAAUUAUAAAGUAGGUCCAGGGACUUCCCUGGUGGCACAGUGGUUAAGACUCUGCACUCCCAAUGCAGGGAGCCUGGGUUUGAUCCCUGGUCAGGGAACUAGAUCCCACAUGCAUGCCGCAACUAAGGAGCCCUCGAGCCGCAACGAAGGAGCCCACCUGCCGCAACUAAGACCCAGUGCAACCAAACAAAUAAAUAAAUAAAUAUUUAAAAAGAAAUAGGGACUUCCCUGUUAGCACAGUCGUUGAGAAUCCGCCUGCCAAUGCAGGGGACACGGGUUCAAUCCCUGGUCCGGGAAGAUCCCACAUGCCGUGGAGCAACUAAGCCCGUGUGCCACAGUUACUGAGCCUGCGCUCUAGAGCCCGUGCGCAACAACUACUGAGCUCGCGUGCCACAACUACUGAAGCCCGUGCGCCUAGAGCCCGUGCUCUACAACAAGAGAAGCCACCACAAUGAGAAGCCCACGCACCGCAACGAAGAGUAGCCCCCGUUCUCUGCAACUAGAGAAAGCCUGCGUGUAGCAACAAAGACCCAGCACAGCCAAAAAUAAAUAAAUAAAUAAUAAAUUUAAAUUAAAAAAAGAAAAGGAAA